GACGCUCAGGCACGAAAGGAAGGGGGGGAAACCAGAUUAAAUUACCUGGUUGGCCCGCCCCUAAACUAAAUUAAAUGGGUUGUGGGGGGUUGAAUCUCUCAGUAACGAAGCUAACGCGUGAAGUAGACCGCCUGGGGAGUACGGCCGCAAGGUUAAAACUCAAAGGAAUUGACGGGGACCCGCACAAGCGGUGGAUGAUGUGGAUUAAUUCGAUGCAACGCGAAAAACCUUACCUACCCUUGACAUGUACGGAAGCCCGCAGAGAUGUAGGUGUGCCCGAAAGGGAACCGGAACACAGGUGCUGCAUGGCUGUCGUCAGCUCGUGUCGUGAGAUGUUGGGUUAAGUCCCGCAACGAGCGCAACCCUUGCCAUUAGUUGGUACAUUCAGUUGGGCACUCUAAUAGACUGCCGGUACAAACCGGAGGAAGGGGGGAGACGCAAGCCUCAGGC
rnacentral:rRNA from 1 species